rnacentral:rRNA from 1 species
AACGAACGCUGGCGGCGCGUUUUAAACAUGCAAGUCGAACGUGAAUCCCUGUGCUUGCAUAGGGAGGAAAGUGGCGAACGGGUGAGUAACACGUGGAUAAUCUGCCUUCAUGUUGGGGAUAACCACUCGAAAGGGUGGCUAAUACCGAAUAAGAUAGUAGUGAUGCGAAUUGCAGCUAUUAAAGGUGGGGACCUUCGGGCCUACCGCAUGAAGAUGAGUCCGCGGCCCAUUAGCUUGUUGGUGGGGUAAUGGCCUACCAAGGCAAUGAUGGGUAGCCGGCCUGAGAGGGUGUACGGCCACAUUGGGACUGAGAUACGGCCCAGACUCCUACGGGAGGCUG